rnacentral:tRNA from 1 species
AGCUCGUCGGGCUCAUAACCCGAAGGUCGUAAGUUCGAGUCUUACUCCCGCAACCA